rnacentral:rRNA from 1 species
CCUACGGGUGGCUGCAGUAAGGAAUAUUGGACAAUGCCCGCAAGGGUGAUCCAGCCAUGCCGCGUGCAGGAAGACGGCCCUAUGGGUUGUAAACUGCUUUUACACCGGAGAAAACCUACCCUCGUGAGGGUAGCUGAUAGUAUGGUGAGAAUAAGCAUCGGCUAACUUCGUGCCAGCAGCCGCGGUAAGACGAAGGAUGCAAGCGUUAUCCGGAUUCAUUGGGUUUAAAGGGAGCGUAGGUGGCCUUAUAAGUCAGUGGUGAAAUCUCUGGGCUU